GUCAUGAUUAUAGAAAGAGGUCUGCCUGCCUUGCCGUUUGGAGUCUCUCAGCCUUCUUGGCCCAAGAUGUGACCUUCAGCCACUGCUGAUCCUCGGUCCCUCACCCCGCUCACGGAGGUCAUUAAGGCUCCCUGCCAGCGAUUCCUGGUCCGACCAGCCUGACUGCCCAGGAGCCUGGCUCUUCCUACCCCUGGGCUUGGCCAGGGGCUGUGUGAUGACUUCUUUCCAAUGAAGCGUAGGGCCUCUAAGGAGGUAAUCAGAGUUACAUGAGGUCAUAAAGGUGGUCCCUGAUCCCACGGGACUGCUGUUCCUAUAAGCAAGAGACCCAGGCUAUGCGAGGACACAGCAAGAAGGUGGCCAUCUACAAGCCGAGGAGAAGGUCUCACCAGGAACCAGCCCCACUGGCACCUUGAUCUUGGACUUCCAGCCUCUGGAACCGUGAGAAAAUAAAUCAUUUAAGCUGC